UUGGGAAUAUUGGACAAUGGAGGGAACUCUGAUCCAGUGACGCCGCGUGAAGGAAGAAGGUCUUCGGAUUGUAAACUUAUUUUAUCAGGGAAGAAGAAAGUGACAGUACCUGAAGAAAAAGGACCGGCAAACUACGUGCCAGCAGCCGCGGUAAUACGUAGGGUCCAAGCGUUAUCCGGAUUUACUGGGUGUAAAGGGCGAGUAGACGGCGCUGUAAGUCAGCUGUGAAAACUUAGGGCUCAACCUUAAGCCUGCAGCUGAAACUGUAGUGCUAGAGUGCAGGAGAGGUAAGCGGAAUUCCUAGUGUAGCGGUGAAAUGCGUAGAUAUUAGGAGGAACACCAGUGGCGAAGGCGGCUUACUGGACUGUAACUGACGUUGAGGCGCGAAAGUGUGGGGAGCA
rnacentral:rRNA from 1 species